rnacentral:rRNA from 1 species
GUGGGGAAUAUUGGACAAUGGGCGAAAGCCUGAUCCAGCCAUGCCGCGUGUGUGAAGAAGGUCUUCGGAUUGUAAAGCACUUUAAGUUGGGAGGAAGGGCAGUAAGUUAAUACCUUGCUGUUUUGACGUUACCGACAGAAUAAGCACCGGCUAACUUCGUGCCAGCAGCCGCGGUAAUACGAAGGGUGCAAGCGUUAAUCGGAAUUACUGGGCGUAAAGCGCGCGUAGGUGGUUUUGUAAGUUGGAGGUGAAAUCCCCGGGCUCAACCUGGGAACUGCCUCCAAAACUGCAUGGCUAGAGUACGGUAGAGGGUAGUGGAAUUUCCUGUGUAGCGGUGAAAUGCGUAGAUAUAGGAAGGAACACCAGUGGAGAAGGCGACUACCUGGACUGAUACUGACACUGAGGUGCGAAAGCGUGGGGAGCAAACAGGAUUAGAUACCCCUGUAGUCC